GAUGAACGCUGGCGGCGUGCCUAAUACAUGCAAGUCGAGCGAACAGACGAGGAGCUUGCUUCUCUGACGUUAGCGGCGGACGGGUGAGUAACACGUGGAUAACCUACCUAUAAGACUGGGAUAACUUCGGGAAACCGGAGCUAAUACCGGAUGAUAUAUUGAACCGCAUGGUUCAAUAGUGAAAGACGGUCUUGCUGUCACUUAUAGAUGGAUCCGCGCUGCAUUAGCUAGUUGGUAAGGUAACAGCUUACCAAGGCGACGAUGCGUAGCCGACCUGAGAGGGUGAUCGGCCACACUGGAACUGAGACACGGUCCAGACUCCUACGGGAGGCAGCAGUAGGGAAUCUUCCGCAAUGGGCGAAAGCCUGACGGAGCAACGCCGCGUGAGUGAUGAAGGUCUUCGGAUCGUAAAACUCUGUUAUUAGGGAAGAACAUAUGUGUAAGUAACUGUGCACGUCUUGACGGUACCUAAUCAGAAAGCCACGGCUAACUACGUG
rnacentral:rRNA from 1 species